rnacentral:rRNA from 1 species
CUUCGACCUCAGAUCAGACGAGACGACCCGCUGAAUUUAAGCAUAUUACUAAGCGGAGGAAAAGAAACUAACCAGGAUUCCCUCAGUAGCGGCGAGCGAAGAGGGAAGAGCCCCAGCGCCAAUUCCCCGUCCGGCGGGCGGACGAAGGGGAAAAGUGGCGUACGGAAGCCGCUUUGCCCCGGGUGUCGCGCGGGGGCCUGAGUCCUUCUGAAGAGGCUCAGCCCGUAGACACGGUGUGAGGGCCGGUGUCGGCCCCCGUCGCGCCGGGGUCCGGCCUUCUCGGAGGCGGGUUUUGGGAGAUGCAGCAAUCUAAGGCUAAAUACCGGAGCCCAAAGCGGGGGGUAAACUCCAUCUAAGGCUAAAUACCGGCACGAGACCGAUAGUCGACAAGUACCUUAAGGGAAAGUUGAAAAGAACUUUGAAGAGAGAGUUCAAGAGGGCGUGAAACCGUUGAGAGGUAAACGGGUGGGGUCCGCGCAGUCCGCUCGGGGGAUUCAGCCCGUCGGGCAAGGGUUGGCGGCCGGGCGCCGGUUGGGAUCCACUUGUGGGACCCCCCGCCCGACCCUGACCGGCCCCCGCCGGGUGCAUUUCCCCCGCGGCGGUGCGUCGCGACCGGCUCCGGCUCGGCCAUGAAGGGCCCGGGGGCGAAGGUGGCACGCGGCCCUGGCUGCCGCGUGCUUUACAGCGCCCCUCCGCCCGGACUUCGCCGCGCCGGGGCCGGGAACCAAUGCUCACUGCGCCCUCUCUCCCCCCCGGGAGGGACGGGGCCCCUCCGCCCCCGGCGCGACUGUCGACUGGGGCGUACGUUCCCAGUGCGCCUCGACCGCGUCGCGCCGCCCCGGGCGGGGAUCGGCCCACGUACAACGGGCGCAAGGGGCAGCGGCGAUGUCGGCUACCCACCCGACCCGUCUUGUAACACGGACCAAGGAGUCUAACGCGCGCGCGAGUCAGAGGGUGCCGAACGAAACCCCGUGGCGAUGAAAGUGAGGGCCGGCGCGCGCCGGCUGAGGUGGGAGAUCCCGGGCCGACCUCGGUCCCGGGCGCACCACCGGGCCGUCUCGCCCGCCCCGUCGGGAGGUGGAGCAUGAGCGCGUGCGAUAGGACCCGAAAGAUUGUUGAACUAUGCCUGGGCAGGGCGAAGCCAGAGGAACCUCUGGUGGAGGCCCGCAGCGGUCCUGACGUGCAAAUCGGUCGUCCGACCUGGGUAUAGGGGCGAAAGACUAAUCGAACCAUCUAGUAGCUGGUUCCCUCCGAAGUUUCCCUCAGGAUAGCUGGCGCUCGAAGUCUCGCCGUUUUAUCUCUUAAAGCGAAUAAUUAGAGGCCUUGGGGCCGAAACGAUCUCAACCCAUUCUCAAACUUUAAAUGGGUAAGAAGCCCGGCUCGCUGGCUUGGAGCCGGGCGUGGAAUGCGAGCCGCCUAGUGGGCCACUUUUGGUAAGCAGAACUGGCGCUGCGGAUGAACCGAAAGCCGGGUUAAGGCGCCCGAUGCCGACGCUCAUCAGACCCCAGAAAAGGUGUUGGUUGAUAUAGACAGCAGGACGGUGGCCAUGGAAGUCGGCACCCGCUAAGGAGUGUGUAACAGCUCACCUGCCGAAUCAACUAGCCCUGAAAAUGGAUCGCGCUGGGCGCUGGAGUCGGGCCCCAUACCUGGCCGUCGCCGGCAACGGGAGCCGCGAGGGCUAGGCCGCGACGAGUAGGAGGGCCGCCGCGGUGCGCACAGAAGCCUGGGGCGCGAGCCCGGGUGGAGCCGCGCCGCGGGUGCAGAUCUUGGAGGGAGUAGAAAUAUUCAAACGAGAACUUUGAGGCCGAAGUGGAGAAGGGUUCCAUGUGGAACCGCAGUUGAACAUGGGUCAGUCGGUCCUAAGGGAUGGGCGAACGCCGUCCGGAAGUGCGGGGCGAUGGCCUCUGUCGCCCCCGGCCGACGAAAAGGGAGUGGGUCAGGAUUCCCCGAACUGGAGGGCGGAGACAGGCGCCGCCGAGGGGUCCAGUGCGGUAACGCAAGCGGACCCCGGGAGAGAAGCCGGCGGGAGCCCCGGGGAGAGUUCUCUUUUUCUUUGUGAAGGGCAGGGCGCCCUGGAAUGGGUUCGCCCCGAGAGAGGGGGCCCGUGCCCUGGAAACGUCGCGGUUCCGGCGGCGUCGGUGAGCUCUCGCUGGCCCUUGAAAAUCCGGGGGAGAGGGUGUUAAAUCUCGGGCCAGGCCGUACCCAUACCCGCAGCAAUCUCCAAGGUGAACAGCCUCUGGCAUUAGAUCAAGGGAGAUAAGGGAAGUCCGGCCAAUCAGAUUCCGUUAACCUUCGGGAUAAGGAUUGGCGCUCUAAGGGCUGGGUCGGUUCGGGCUUGGGGUGCGAAGCGAGGCUGGGCUCGCGCCGCCGCCUGGAGGAGCCGCCGCCCCGUCCCCCUCCUCUCUCCGCCGCCGGAGGCGCGGCGACGGCCCGCCCUGUGGGGGGUUUUCCCCGCUCUCCUCCGUCUGGCUCGUCCAGGCGGCGGGGGGUCGGGGGGGCU